rnacentral:misc_RNA from 1 species
GCAAACUUGGUCAUUUAGAGGAAGUAAAAGUCGUAACAAGGUUUCUGUAGGUGAACCUGCAGAAGGAUCAUUAGUGAAGAUUUGGGCAGGCCAUACGGACGCCACAAAGUGUCCCUGGCCGCCUACACCCACUAUACAUCCACAAACCCGUGUGCACUGUCCUUGGAAAGGGCAUUUGGAGAGAAAAAGAAAGAGAAGCGAGAGCAGUGCGAUCCGUCGCGUUGGGCGUUUUCUCUGACUUGGUCUCUCUGAGGCCCUUUCCUUGCUACAAACUCGAAUGGUUAGUAUGAACGUGGAACUUGGUUGGACCGUCACUGGCCAACAAACUAUACACAACUUUCGACAACGGAUCUCUUGGUUCUCCCAUCGAUGAAGAACGCAGC